rnacentral:rRNA from 1 species
GAAACAUCUUAGUACCCGGAGGAAGAGAAAGAAAAUUCGAUUCCCUUAGUAGCGGCGAGCGAAACGGGAAGAGCCCAAACCAACAAGCUUGCUUGUUGGGGUUGUAGGACACUCUAUACGGAGUUACAAAGGACGACAUUAGACGAAUCAUCUGGAAAGAUGAAUCAAAGAAGGUAAUAAUCCUGUAGUCGAAAAUGUUGUCUCUCUUGAGUGGAUCCUGAGUACGACGGAGCACGUGAAAUUCCGUCGGAAUCUGGGAGGACCAUCUCCUAAGGCUAAAUACUCUCUAGUGACCGAUAGUGAACCAGUACCGUGAGGGAAAGGUGAAAAGCACCCCGGAAGGGGAGUGAAAUAGAACCUGAAACCGUGUGCUUACAAGUAGUCAGAGCCCGUUAAUGGGUGAUGGCGUGCCUUUUGUAGAAUGAACCGGCGAGUUACGAUUUGAUGCAAGGUUAAGCAGUAAAUGUGGAGCCGUAGCGAAAGCGAGUCUGAAUAGGGCGUUUAGUAUUUGGUCGUAGACCCGAAACCAGGUGAUCUACCCUUGGUCAGGUUGAAGUUCAGGUAACACUGAAUGGAGGACCGAACCGACUUACGUUGAAAAGUGAGCGGAUGAACUGAGGGUAGCGGAGAAAUUCCAAUCGAACCUGGAGAUAGCUGGUUCUCUCCGAAAUAGCUUUAGGGCUAGCCUCAAGUGAUGAUUAUUGGAGGUAGAGCACUGUUUGGACGAGGGGCCCCUCUCGGGUUACCGAAUUCAGACAAACUCCGAAUGCCAAUUAAUUUAACUUGGGAGUCAGAACAUGGGUGAUAAGGUCCGUGUUCGAAAGGGAAACAGCCCAGACCACCAGCUAAGGUCCCAAAAUAUAUGUUAAGUGGAAAAGGAUGUGGCGUUGCCCAGACAACUAGGAUGUUGGCUUAGAAGCAGCCAUCAUUUAAAGAGUGCGUAAUAGCUCACUAGUCGAGUGACACUGCGCCGAAAAUGUACCGGGGCUAAACAUAUUACCGAAGCUGUGGAUUGUCCUUUGGACAAUGGUAGGAGAGCGUUCUAAGGGCGUUGAAGCAUGAUCGUAAGGACAUGUGGAGCGCUUAGAAGUGAGAAUGCCGGUGUGAGUAGCGAAAGACGGGUGAGAAUCCCGUCCACCGAUUGACUAAGGUUUCCAGAGGAAGGCUCGUCCGCUCUGGGUUAGUCGGGUCCUAAGCUGAGGCCGACAGGCGUAGGCGAUGGAUAACAGGUUGAUAUUCCUGUACCACCUAUAAUCGUUUUAAUCGAUGGGGGGACGCAGUAGGAUAGGCGAAGCGUGCGAUUGGAUUGCACGUCUAAGCAGUAAGGCUGAGUAUUAGGCAAAUCCGGUACUCGUUAAGGCUGAGCUGUGAUGGGGAGAAGACAUUGUGUCUUCGAGUCGUUGAUUUCACACUGCCGAGAAAAGCCUCUAGAUAGAAAAUAGGUGCCCGUACCGCAAACCGACACAGGUAGUCAAGAUGAGAAUUCUAAGGUGAGCGAGCGAACUCUCGUUAAGGAACUCGGCAAAAUGACCCCGUAACUUCGGGAGAAGGGGUGCUCUUUAGGGUUAACGCCCAGAAGAGCCGCAGUGAAUAGGCCCAAGCGACUGUUUAUCAAAAACACAGGUCUCUGCUAAACCGUAAGGUGAUGUAUAGGGGCUGACGCCUGCCCGGUGCUGGAAGGUUAAGAGGAGUGGUUAGCUUCUGCGAAGCUACGAAUCGAAGCCCCAGUAAACGGCGGCCGUAACUAUAACGGUCCUAAGGUAGCGAAAUUCCUUGUCGGGUAAGUUCCGACCCGCACGAAAGGCGUAACGAUUUGGGCACUGUCUCAACGAGAGACUCGGUGAAAUCAUAGUACCUGUGAAGAUGCAGGUUACCCGCGACAGGACGGAAAGACCCCGUGGAGCUUUACUGUAGCCUGAUAUUGAAAUUCGGCACAGCUUGUACAGGAUAGGUAGGAGCCUUUGAAACGUGAGCGCUAGCUUACGUGGAGGCGCUGGUGGGAUACUACCCU